UACGAAGGGGGCUAGCGUUGCUCGGAAUCACUGGGCGUAAAGCGCACGUAGGCGGCUUCUUAAGUCAGGGGUGAAAUCCUGGAGCUCAACUCCAGAACUGCCUUUGAUACUGGGAAGCUUGAGUUCGGGAGAGGUGAGUGGAACUGCGAGUGUAGAGGUGAAAUUCGUAGAUAUUCGCAAGAACACCAGUGGCGAAGGCGGCUCACUGGCCCGAUACUGACGCUGAGGCACGAAAGCGUGGGGAGCAAACAGG
rnacentral:rRNA from 1 species